AUACGGAGGGUGCGAGCGUUAAUCGGAAUUACUGGGCGUAAAGCGUGCGUAGGCGGUUUGUUAAGUCAGAAGUGAAAGCCCUGGGCUCAACCUGGGAACGGCUUUUGAGACUGGCAGACUCGAGUUGAGUAGAGGGGAGUGGAAUUUCCGGUGUAGCGGUGAAAUGCGUAGAGAUCAGAAGGAACACCAGUGGCGAAGGCGACUCCCUGGACUCAAACUGACGCUGAGGUACGAAAGCGUGGGUAGCAAACAGGAUUAGAUACCCCAGUAGUCC
rnacentral:rRNA from 1 species